CCUACGGGAGGCAGCAGUAGGGAAUCUUCGGCAAUGGACGAAAGUCUGACGGAGCAACGCCGCGUGAGUGAGGAAGGUUUUCGGAUCGUAAAACUCUGUUGUUAGGGAAGAACAAGGGCGAGAGUAACUGCUCGCACCCGACGGUACCUACCAGAGCUGAUC
rnacentral:rRNA from 1 species